rnacentral:rRNA from 1 species
AAGAGAUGGCGACCGGCGCGCGGGUGAGUAACACGUAUCCAACCUGCCGAUAACUCCGGAAUAGCCUUUCGAAAGAAAGAUUAAUACCGGAUGGCAUACGAAUAUCGCAUGAUAUUUUUAUUAAAGAAUUUCGGUUAUCGAUGGGGAUGCGUUCCAUUAGUUUGUUGGCGGGGUAACGGCCCACCAAGACUACGAUGGAUAGGGGUUCUGAGAGGAAGGUCCCCCACAUUGGAACUGAGACACGGUCCAA